GCCCUCCUACGGGACGCAGCAGUGAGGAAUAUUGGUCAAUGGCCGGAAGGCUGAACCAGCCACGCCGCGUGAGGGAGGAAGGCGCAGAGCGUCGCAGACCUCUUUUGCCGGGGGACAAAAGGCCGGACUCGUCCGGUCCUGAGGGUACCCGGAGAAAAAGCAUCGGCUAACUCCGUGCCAGCAGCCGCGGUAAUACGGAGGAUGCGAGCGUUAUCCGGAUUCAUUGGGUUUAAAGGGUGCGCAGGCGGGCCUUUAAGCCGGCGG
rnacentral:rRNA from 1 species